rnacentral:rRNA from 1 species
CUUAACACAUGCAAGUCGAACGGUGACGACGGGGCUUGCUCUGUCUGAUCAGUGGCGAACGGGUGAGUAACACGUGAGUAACCUGCCCCCGACUCUGGAAUAACCGUGGGAAACGACGGCUAAUACCGGAUAUGAGACGCACGGGCAUCUGUGUGUCUGGAAAGAUUUAUCGGUCAGGGAUGGACUCGCGGCCUAUCAGCUUGUUGGUGGGGUAAUGGCCCACCAAGGCGACGACGGGUAGCCGGCCUGAGAGGGCGACCGGCCACACUGGGACUGAGAUACGGCCCAGACUCCUACGGGAGGCAGCAGUGGGGAAUAUUGCACAAUGGGCGCAAGCCUGAUGCAGCGACGCCGCGUGAGGGAUGAAGGCCUUCGGGUUGUAAACCUCUUUCAGCAGGGAAGAAGCGAAAGUGACGGUACCUGCAGAAGAAGCGCCGGCUAACUACGUGCCAGCAGCCGCGGUAAUACGUAGGGCGCAAGCGUUGUCCGGAAUUAUUGGGCGUAAAGAGCUCGUAGGCGGUUUGUCGCGUCUGCUGUGAAAACCUGAGGCUCAACCUCGGGCUUGCAGUGGGUACGGGCAGACUAGAGUGCGGUAGGGGUGACUGGAAUUCCUGGUGUAGCGGUGGAAUGCGCAGAUAUCAGGAGGAACACCGAUGGCGAAGGCAGGUCACUGGGCCGCAACUGACGCUGAGGAGCGAAAGCAUGGGGAGCGAACAGGAUUAGAUACCCUGGUAGUCCAUGCCGUAAACGUUGGGCACUAGGUGUGGGGCUCAUUCCACGAGUUCCGUGCCGCAGCAAACGCAUUAAGUGCCCCGCCUGGGGAGUACGGCCGCAAGGCUAAAACUCAAAGAAAUUGACGGGGGCCCGCACAAGCGGCGGAGCAUGCGGAUUAAUUCGAUGCA